UAGUUGGUAAGGUAACGGCUUACCAAGGCAACGAUGUUUAGGGGGUCUGAGAGGAUAGUCCCCCACACUGGUACUGAGACACGGACCAGACUCCUACGGGAGGCAGCAGUGAGGAAUAUUGGUCAAUGGGCGCAAGCCUGAACCAGCCAUGUCGCGUGUAGGAUGACUGCCCUAUGGGUUGUAAACUACUUUUUUACAGGAAUAAACUUUUCCACGAGUGGGAAACUGAAGGUACUGUAGGAAUAAGGAUCGGCUAACUCCGUGCCAGCAGCCGCGGUAAUACGGAGGAUUCGAGCGUUAUCCGGAUUUAUUGGGUUUAAAGGGUCCGUAGGCGGGCUUGUAAGUCAGUGGUGAAAUCUCACAGCUCAACUGUGAAACUGCCAUUGAUACUGCAGGUCUUGAAUUUAGUUGAGGUGGGCGGAAUACGAUAUGUAGCGGUGAAAUGCAUAGAUAUAUCGUAGAACACCGAUUGCGAAGGCAGCUCACUAAGCUAAUAUUGACGCUGAUGGACGAAAGCGUGGGGAGCGAACAGGAUUAGAUACCCUGGUAGUCCACGCCGUAAACGAUGAUCACUCGUUGUGCGCGAUACACAGUGCGCGACUGAGCGAAAGCAUUAAGUGAUCCACCUGGGGAGUACGUUGGCAACAAUGAAACUCAAAGGAAUUGACGGGGGCCCGCACAAGCGGAGGAACAUGUGGUUUAAUUCGAUGAUACGCGAGGAACCUUACCUGGGCUUAAAUGCAUUUUGAUCGGCUUGGAAACGAGCUUUCUCUUCGGAGCAAAUUACAAGGUGCUGCAUGGUUGUCGUCAGCUCGUGCCGUGAGGUGUCGGGUUAAGUCCCAUAACGAGCGCAACCCCUAUCGUUAGUUGCUAGCAGGUAAUGCUGAGGACUCUAGCGAGACUGCCACCGUAAGGUGAGAGGAAGGUGGGGAUGACGUCAAAUCAGCACGGCCCUUACGUCCAGGGCUACACACGUGUUACAAUGGCUAGUACAAAGGGCAGCUACCUGGUGACAGGAUGCUAAUCUCAAAAGCUAGUCUCAGUUCGGAUCGGAGUCUGCAACUCGACUCUGUGAAGUUGGAUUCGCUAGUAAUCGUAUAUCAGCAAUGAUACGGUGAAUACGUUCCCGGGCCUUGUACACACCGCCCGUCAAGCCAUGGAAGCCGAGGGGACCUGAAGUUCGUAACCGCAAGGAGCGACCUAGGGUAAAAUUGGUAACUGGGGCU
rnacentral:rRNA from 1 species